rnacentral:lncRNA from 1 species
UAAAUAUUUAAUUUAUGAACAAAACUUAGGUUCACUCCCUAGGACGAACCUUUAAAUUCACCUCUCAUUCUAUGACCAAUCAAAGUGCACGUAAAUAAUUAAAUUAAAAAUAUUAAAAUUAUUUAAAAAAAAAAGAAUAACGCAAAUUUUAACGAUACUGACGCCGCCAGCUAAACUUUAAACCCUAAAUCUCAAAUUUUAAACCUAAACUGUAGACCCUAAACCUAAACUCAAUACCCUAAACCCAAAUCCUAGACUCUAAACCGAAACCGUAUAUCCUAAACCCAAAACCUAGACUCUAAACCGAAACCGUAUAUCCUAAACCCAAAACCUAGACCCUAAACCCUAACCAUAAACCCUAAACCCAAACCAUAUACCGUAAACCUAAAUCCUAGACCUCAAACCCAAACCGUAAACCCUAAACCCAAACCCUAUAGCGUCUAGGUUUAGGGUUUGGGUUUAGGGUUUACGGUUUGGGUUUAGAGUUUACGGUUUGGGUUUCAAAUCUAGGAUUUGGGUUUGGGGUAUACGGUUUGGGUUUAGGGCUUAGGAUUUGGAUUUAGGGUAUAGGGUUUGGAUUUAUGGUUUACAGUCUGGGUUUAGGGUAUAGGAUUUGGGUUUAAAGUAUACGGAUUGGGUUUAGGGUAUAGAGUUUGGGUUUAUGAUUUAAGGUUUAGGGUUAAGAAUUUAAGAUUUAGGGUUUACAGUUUAGCUGGUGGCGUCAGCGUCGUUAAAAUUGACGUUAUUCCUUUUAGCUACUUUUAAAUAAAUUUUAUACUUUUUAUUUAAUUAUCUAAGUGACACUUU